CGACUUUGGCGGAUAGAGGCAGACGGGUGAGUAACGCGUAGGAACCUAUCCUUUGGUGGGGAAUAGCCCCGCGAAAGCGGGGGUAAUACCGCAUUAGCCCAGCCGUUUCUUCGGAAACAGCUGGGGAAAGGGCAUAACUGCCCGCCGAAGGAGGGGCCUGCGUCCUAUCAGCUUGUUGGUAGGGUAAUGGCCUACCAAGGCUUCAACGGGUAGCCGGUGUGAGAGCACGUCCGGCCACAAGGUCACUGAGACACGGGGCCUACAUCUACGGAUGGCAGCAACCGAGAAUCUUGCGCAAUGGGCGAAAGCCUGACGCAGCGACACCGCGUGGAGGAUGACGGCCUUCGGGUUGUAAACUUCUUUUAUAAAGGAACAUUAUGAGGGUACUUUAUGAAUAAGCACCUGCAAACUACGUGCCAGCAGCCGCGGUAAGACGUAGGGUGCAAGCGUUAUCCGGAUUUAUUGGGCGUAAAGAGUUUCGUAGGCGGUUUAAAAAGUCAUUCGUUUAAGCCCUCGGCUCAACCGAGGAAAUGCGAGUGAUACUUUUAGACUAGAGUUCAGUCGGGGAUGUUGGAAUGUCUGGUGGAGGGGUGAAAUCCGUUGAUAUCAGAUAGAACACCGAGGGCGAAGGCAAACAUCUAGGCUGACACAGACGCUGAUGAACGAAAGCUAGGGGAGCGAAAGGGAUUAGAGACCCCUGUAGUCCUUGCUGUAAACGAUGUCCGCUAGUUCUCCGGAUUUUAAUUUGGGGGACGUAAGAUAACUCGUUAAGCGGACCGCCUGGGGAGUACGACCGCAAGGUUAAAACUCAAAGGAAUUGACGGGGAGGCGCACAACCAGUGGAGCAUGUGGUUUAAUUCGAGACGAAGCGUAGGACCUUACCUGGGUUUGACAUCCCGCUGCGAACCCCGAGAAAUCGGGGAAGCCUUUGAGGGAGCGGGACAGCUACUGCAUGGUUGUCGUCAGCUCGUGUCGUGAGAUGUCCGCUUAAGUGCGGUAACGAGCGCAACCCUCAUCCCGAGUUAAAUAUUCUCGGGAGACCGCCCCGAUUAGAUCGGGGAGGAAGGAGAGGAUGACGUCAAAUCAGCACGGUGCUUACAUCCAGGGCAACACACAUCCUACAAUGGUCAGCACAAUGGGUUGCGAAGCAGUAAUGCGGAGCUAAUCCCUUUAAAACUGGCCUCAGUUCAGAUUGCGGGCUGCAACUCGCCCGCAUGAAGUUGGAAUUGGUAGUAAUCGCAGGUCAGCAGACUGCGGUA
rnacentral:rRNA from 1 species